rnacentral:tRNA from 1 species
GAGGGUAUAGCUCAGUGGUUGAGUGCAUGCUUAGCAUGUAUGAGCUCCUAGGUUCAGCCCCAGUACCUCCA